rnacentral:rRNA from 1 species
UUAGGAAUAUUGCGCAAUGGACGAAAGUCUGACGCAGCGACGCCGCGUGGGUGAGGAAGGCCUUCGGGUCGUAAAGCCCUUUUAGCAGGGACGAAAAAUGACGGUACCUGCAGAAAAAGCACCUGCUAACUACGUGCCAGCAGCAGCGGUAAUACGUAGGGUGCGAGCGUUAUUCGGAAUCACUGGGCGUAAAGCGCAUGUAGGCGGUUCGGUUAGUCCGGUGUGGAAGCCCACGGCUCAACCGUGGAAGUGCACUAGAUACUGCCGAACUGGAGUGCAGGAGAGGAGAGCGGAAUUCCAGGUGUAGCGGUGAAAUGCGUAGAUAUCUGGAAGAACACCAGUGGCGAAGGCGGCUCUCUGGCCUAGAACUGACGCUGAAGCGCGAAAGCGUGGGGAGCGAACA